AGCGGACGCUCUGGUUUGGGCGGCUGUUUUCGUGUGCAGUCGUGCGGUUUACGGAAAGCUGGGCGCCGGGUCUCGUUGAGAAGCUGAGCGAAAGGUAACUGCUGAGAUGGGAUCAGCUCUGUGUUAAAAUGGUCCGCGGCGCUGGAGCUGACUGUUGCGAGGGAGCUGGGGUGGGAUCUGCCCGGCUCUGCAACGUUUGUAGCGGGAGAAGGCGAUGCUAACAGGUGGGGACUGACAGGGGGAAAGCUGAUUGGUGUGUUGUGUACCCGUGCUGAUGCUGCAACUUAAAAGCCUGGUAUGGACAUGACUGGAAACCAGUGAAAUCAUGAGAGUAAAACUAGGUUGAACGCAAGCCACCAAAACAAGGAGGGGUGUGGCUCAGUGCUCAGCGCUCAGCCCAGCUUGCUAAAGGGUCUGACUCUCCACCCCUAGCUCAAGACAAAACAACAACAAUAAAAAUGCGAUCUGUCUAACCCUCUGUGGAAGCUAGGGCCGAGUGCAUAGUGUCUGAUGCUGCAGAGAUGAAGACAGACUCCAACGUAGACAUUAUUUUGAUACUUGUUUUAAAAGCGGGAGCAGCCUGUGUUGUAAACCGGAUUGUUUAUCUUUGUUGAAAGGUGUUGCAGUAAAUCUCCAACCCAAAUAAGCCCAGGCAAUGAAAACACAACUUAAUUAAUAUGAAUACAUGCUGUGCGCCUACAUUGGGCAGAUCUAUCACUACACUACCAUCUUCCCCAUAUAAGAGACCCCUUAGAACUUCUCCAGGCCAGGUGCUUCUGCUCUACUUUCCUUCUCCUCAGUCGUCCCCUCUCCUUUUCUCCCAAAACUUUCAGCUCCAUCUUCCCCUCUUUUUUCUGCCUCGUUUUUUUCUACUUGAAGUUGCGUAGGUGUUCUUUGUAAGAACUUCGGUUUACAUGGACAAAUAAAUAUAGCAUACAAGGAAACGAUUGUUGUACAGAAACAAACUUAGUUGCUUUCCUACUAGAGGAUAAAGAUAAUAAUUGUUGCUCGUUGAAUUGCUUGAGUCUGGAACAUUUUCCUAACGCUGAAAUCCUGAAUUAGGUUUCGAGAAUGAAGCGCAGUUCAGUUUCCACCUGUGGUGCUGGCCGCCUCUCUAUGCAGGAGUUAAGGACCCUGGACCUCAAUAAGCCAGGCCUUUAUACCCCUCAAACGUAAGUGCCUCCCCUGUGCUUCUCAGCUGCUUACUUUACUGUCUAGAGAAAAAAAAAAAGUGCCAGAAAUGGUUAGUACAAAAGUGUAAGUGAUGUCUUGGUGACUCCUGUCUCCUCCCAGUAGUACUGGAUUAGGGGGAGGGGGGCAAUGAAAUAUAAAAGUGGACACGAUGCUAGGUUUUAGCUCGUUGUCUCUCCAAUUCCCAUAGUCAGAUUCUUUACUGGGCGUGCUAUAAAAUAAUUGUCAAUGCUUGCUUUCCUCUUAUUCCUUUGUUAUUAGCCGUUUAAGUAGGCACCAUGGUAUUACUCAUUAUUUAUUAAGAUGUUUCCAAAUACUAAAGGUAGUAAUAAAAUGGAAGCAGAUUUAUUUGUUUUGGUGAUAAGCUAUAACAUAAUUUCCUCAAGUUUGGGGGCAGGUGUCCAAGGGAACGUGCUACAUAGCUCGGUGUGGUCACACACACACCCCUACAAUUCCAGUAUUCAAAAGGCUCUAAGAAGAAGAUGGCUCAGGGCUGGAGAGAUGGCUCAGCGGUUAAGAACACUGACUGCUCUUCCAAAGGUCCUGAGUUCAAAUCCCAGCAACCACAUGGUGGCUCACAGCCAUCUGUAAUGAGAUCUUAUGCCCUCUCCUGGGGUGUCUGAAGACAGCUACAGUGUACUUACAUAUACUAAAUAAAGCU
rnacentral:lncRNA from 1 species